rnacentral:sRNA from 2 species
AUAUCUCUCUGUACGGGAAGGAUGAGAAGCUUCGACUAAGGUUCGAUUCGAGCGUCAGCGAGAAAGCGUUGCCGCAGGCAACGACCCGAAGGG